CCUACGGGUGGCAGCAGUGGGGAAUAUUGCACAAUGGGGGAAACCCUGAUGCAGCGACGCCGCGUGAGUGAAGAAGUAAUUCGGUACGUAAAGCUCUAUCAGCAGGGAAGAAAAUGACGGUAUCUCAGGAAGAAGCCCCGGCUAACUCCGUGCCAGCAGCCGCGGUAAUACGUAGGGGGCAAGCGUUAUCCGGAUUUACUGGGUGUAAAGGGAGCGUAGGCGGGCCGGAAAGUCUGGAGUGAAAUGCUGCAGCUUAACUGCAGAACUGCGUUUGAAACUGGCGGACUAGAGUGUGGGAGGGGUAGGCGGAAUUCCUAGUGUAGCGGUGAAAUGCGUAGAUAUUAAGAGGAACACCGAUGGCGAAGGCGGCUUACUGGAACGUAACUGACGUUGAGGCUCGAAAGCGUGGGGAGCAAACAGGAUUAGAUACCCGGGUAGUC
rnacentral:rRNA from 1 species